UACGUAGGGGGCUAGCGUUGUCCGGAAUCAUUGGGCGUAAAGAGCGUGUAGGCGGCCCGGUAAGUCCGCUGUGAAAGUCGGGGGCUCAACCCUCGAAUGCCGGUGGAUACUGUCGGGCUAGAGUGCGGAAGAGGCGAGUGGAAUUCCCGGUGUAGCGGUGAAAUGCGCAGAUAUCAGGAGGAAUACCCAUAGCGAAGGCAGCUCGCUGGGACGUUACUGACGCUGAGGCGCGAAAGCGUGGGGAGCGAACAGG
rnacentral:rRNA from 1 species